AAACAAACAAACAAAAACUCCAAUGAUGAUCUGCAUGGAUGCAGUUCCUGCAGUUCAAGUGUAGGGCAACGCAGUUCAUUGACCUCUCUAUCAUUGCCUGUCAUUACUGGUAAAUUAUUUAAUCUGUUAUCAAGGAAAAUGCCUUAAACAUGCAAUCAUCUGUUGCUUAUUUCAUGUUCUAAAAGUGUGUGCUCAUGUCAAAUAUGUCCUAAAUUCUUACAUUUUAGCUGCCCAGUUGUGCAUAGACAGCAGCAGAAACAAACACCAGCUACACACACCUACAGCAUUUAAAUUGCAUGGAGCUUUUUCCAAAGAAGAAGUUACCCCAUCAAUAUUCUGCUUCAGCAGCAAUGCAAGGUAAAUACUGGGAUUCAGCUGCAGAAUGAAACAACAAAGCAAACCAUUUGUGUCAGACACACGAGUAGAGUAGUGCUAUUCAACAAGCUUGCAUUGAGUGGACUCAGUGAAAAAGCCUAUUCUCAUACUCGAGAAAAAGAAACCAUAAAACUAAGUUUACAAAGGUUCAGAAGAAAAACAGAGAUACAUCCGUCUCCCCUUCAGUGAAUAUGUAUUCAAAUAUCUUUUUAUGUCGUAUUGCCCAGACCACUCCACAACUGGACACAAAAAUUCCAAAAACACCAACUCUAAUUUAACUUCCCCAAAAGACAAACCCCCAAGUACCUCUUUCAUUUGAGACUGGAACAGUAACAUCUGCAGCCCAUCAGUAAGAGCUUAAUUUAGGCAUCAGUUCAGCUCAUUGCCACUCUGCUGAGCUCCUGGCUCAGAAUAGCUAGAAAGUGCAGCAGGUGAGUUUUGUUGUAUUUUCCCUCAGCAGGGGAGUGGGUGAGUGGGGAACAGACACUAAAUUUGUACUGGCUGUGGGUAGAAUUGAUAGACAGUGAGUUAGCAAGCUGAAUAGACUGAAUGUGUUAUUAUUUCUUAGAGUUUUGGUUGUCUAUCAGGACUACUUAGUUGCUUUCUCUUUGUUUUAUAGCUUACUUAAACACAAUAGUCUUCAAAUUAUGUCAUGUAAUCUCUGACUGGUAAGCAUGCUAGUGUUGUUGCUAUAUUACAUCUAUGAUAUUUUCUUGAUGCUUAUCUUAAGCACUGACUGAAGUACAGGCUGCAUACAUGCUAACCAAGUUAAGUCUCCGUGUUCUCUUCCACACUACAGAAGAUAAUUUUUAGGAACAGACUCACACUUUACUCUUUGAUUUAAACCUGUUACCCAGGGACAUUAUUACAUACAGGAUGCCUCCCAAUACUGCUGUAAGUCCCACCAUUUACUCUACAGGAACUUGUCCCUUUCCUUGGAUUUUGGCUGUUACCCUAGAUUGCCCCUUCAUCAGAAAAGAAGUGAA
rnacentral:lncRNA from 1 species